rnacentral:lncRNA from 14 species
ACAGGAGUUAGCUGCUGUUGCUUCAGGAUAGCCAAGCCCUUAGACUGGCACAGUACAUCUGCCCUUGCAUUAGAAAUAAUAUUGUAAGAACUGGUCUGAAUAUGGCUCUGCUUUCUUUCCUGUAGAUCAUGGCCUUUUACAUCUGAGUUAAAAUCUUGCACCAGAAGGACAACUUUUUGUUUGGGUAUUCCACUUCCAGUGGCUUAAAGAGAAACAACAUGACAAGCAUUCUCCUAUGACAAAAACUACGACUGCUACCAAUCUGACCCUGUUUUCUUGCGUGUGAUCUCAGCUUUGAAAGUGUUGCACAGAGACUCAUCAAGGAAACACUGGAAAGACUUGUUCAUUGCUGUCAGUCGCUGAGUCCAUAAUGGCUGUGGUGCAAGCACGGGAUUGACAGAAACACCCAAGAGGCUUCAGCAAGAUUGCCAAACUGGCCAAAACUCAACAGAAAUCAGAAAAAAAAGAUGAAAGAAAAGAAGAGAGAGCUAACAGUGACUGAUGGGCUGCACACAUGGAUCCAUUUGGCACCUACUCAAACUCCUCACAGCCAUUGACUGUGCUCAUUACAUGCCAGAGUUGUGAAUUUGCCCCAGACCCUAUCAGCAAAGGUUUGAAUGUGUCCCAGCUUGGUUGAAAGAGCUUUUCUCCCCCAGAUUUCGGGAACAUUCCCACAUUCCUGUGGCCCAUCUUUCUUUCCUGUGUAUCCCUCCCCUUCUCGCUCCAUCCCUGCUGAGGGCCAAGGAGUCUGUGUUUUGGAACUGGCAUCCAUUGUCUCAGUUGCACUUGAGCCCAUCCAACAGGGAAAAUGGCAGGUAUUCACAUGGCACUGUCUGAAGGAGAGUGCUUCAAAGGGGAAUGAGACUGUUACACCAAAUCAUCUUCUGCUGAGCACCACCGAAUCAUCGCAACCUUGGACAACCAAUCAACUGACUUUGUGUUAUUUAUGUUGUUCUAAAGGCUGCAUUUCAAAACCUGAAAUGUAUGGAUUGGAAAAACUGACAACAAUUCAUUCUGCUCAAGCUGUUUAAUAACACCACACAGAUCUUGUUUGAAAAGCUUGCUUUCAAGGGAGGGAAUUUAACCAACUUCCAGAUUAACUUCCUCCUCAGUUACAGUGAACAAGAAGUCUUCAAAUAUUUAGCAUCUAAUUUACUCUAACAAGUCAAGGAAAUAAGUGUUAAAACUCAAACUCCUGCUUGACAGUCUAUUUGUAGUUCGUCCUGUGAUAAUGAGCCAGAUUCUUGCCUAGUAUAAAUGGACAAAAAUCCAUUUAAGCCAUGCAAGAAUGUUGAUUUAUGAUAGCUACAAAUCUGACCUUUAUUUUGGUAUUUUAUUGUAAGCUCCAAUCCUCUUUGCACUGUUCGUUUAUUGAAAUUGAAUUAGAUUUACCAAAGUAUGCUCUGACAAAAUGGAUGGCUUUUCCCUUACCUUUUUGUGCCAGGGAUAAAAUGGUGGUCUAUUUCAAUGUAGUAGUGUUAAUAAGACAGCUUUGUUAAAGGAAAGUUGGAAAUCAUAGUAACAUUCACUACAAUGCCACGCAUUUUUUAUUUCUCAAAGUUCACCAAAUUUGUACAAUUUGAUCCAGAAGUUACAGCAUCCUUCCAUGAAGUCUGAGAUAAACCUGCAGAACAGAGGUUGAAAUAAAUUUAGCUAACAAGCAAUUCCA